UUUGGACAGGCAGCAUAUGCUUUGAACAGAUGUUCCUCACACUAAUAUACCCGGUAUAUAAAUUGUAACUUUGUCACACAACUCCAUUCAUACAAAAAAAAAGAUAAAUUGGAAUUAUUACUACAGCAAUACGAACCACAGAAUGGCUAUGAAGAUUAUUUUGUUUACCCUUGCUGUAACCUUCGCUUACUUGAAUCUUGUAAGUUCAGAAGAAGCAACAUGCUCAACGACUUUCGAAGGUAAAGAAGUUGAGAUUAAAUAUGGAGAUACAGUUUGGCUGAACCCCUGCCUGUUUUGUUGGUGCUAUCAAGACACCAAGGAAGCCGGAUGUAACACUGUAGACUGUCCGACAUGGAGUUGUGAUGGCGGCCUCCAACUGACAUAUCUGGACGGACAAUGUUGUCCAUCUUGUCUUCCAACUGACCAGUGAUUUUAUUUAUGUUAUAAUUGACAAGAUAUUAUGACUGCAUGAAUUUGCAUUAAAAUGUUUCACCUUUUUUCACUUUCAAUAAAAUACUAUAUGAAUGAA